GCCAAGAGGUGGGCGGUGAGACAGACGAGAUCGGGGUGCCGUAACCCGUUCCACGGCUGCGUUCUGUUUGUGAGCAGAACUGUUGGCUAAUUUCUCGUCUGGCAGCCCAAGCUUUAGUUUGGUGGGAAAUUCAAGACACAGCACUACUGGAUGGUGUCUGUACGUAGCACACAGCUGCAGGCCGUCACAUCAGCUGCCAAGAGGAUCGAAACGCAUCAUUUGACUUCCUGACGGGAGACUUCAUCAGAUCUAGAGAAGUCAAGGCAAGGAGGAGAAUGGGGCGAUGACAUCCAACUGAGCCAUCUUUCAGAAAUAAUGUCCAGAUGUGAUUAGGCUACUACCAGACAAAAGACCCAAAGUAAAAAAUAACAUGAAGGCUGAGGCCCACGUGGAAAAAGAAUUGUGUACGAUCCACAGAGUUGCAUCUUCCCCAGUACUUGGCACAGUGCUCAUCCCAGGGUAAGUGCUUAUUAUUGUUUUA